GAUGAACGCUAGCGAUAGGCCUAACACAUGCAAGUCGAGGGGCAUCACAUGAAGUAGCAAUACGGAUGGUGGCGACCGGCGCACGGGUGAGUAACACGUAUGCAACCUGCCUUCAACAAGGGGAUAACCCGUUGAAAGACGGACUAAUACCCUAUAACACAGGGGUCCCGCAUGGGAAUAUUUGUUAAAGGACAACCGGUUGAGAUGGGCAUGCGUUCCAUUAGCUAGUUGGCGGGGUAACGGCCCA
rnacentral:rRNA from 1 species